GAUGGAAGUGUCAAAUGCAAUCAUUUUACAACUGGAUUUUCACAGGUCAUAGGAGCGAAGGUGCCCUUCAUCACACCGUGCUGUGACAUGUACAGCAUUGGAAGACCUGUGACACCAUGGCCCUCUGGUUGUUACUGCCUCCUGAAUGGUAUGAAGCCUCAAGCAUUCACUCUGCUUAGAAACUCAUCUCAGAUUCACCACUGAAUUUCCAAGGAGCCAACCUGUAGGCAGGCAUGAGGCACGUCAUUUAUCACUGAAGAUGAUGUACUGUUUUCUAAAGCCUUUCUAUUAUUUUAAAUCCCGUGGGAGUCAUAUAGGAAUGCUCUAAACUUGACCAAAACCACAAAGUAUAACAAAUCCAGGAUUUAGCUUUUAGCCUCAUCACCCAUCCCUCUCUUCAGCUCUUCCCACUCCACAGACUUUCAAUUUUUUUACUUUAACAAAGACAUGGGAUCACUGCUGUUGGGAUACUGCAGAGCAGUAACCAAAAGCAAUAUAAGCCCAGCAAA